UACGUAGGGGGCAAGCGUUGUCCGGAUUUAUUGGGCGUAAAGAGCGUGUAGGCGGCCAUACAGGUCCGUUGUGAAAACUCGAGGCUCAACCUCGAGACGUCGAUGGAAACCGUAUGGCUAGAGUCCGGAAGAGGAGAGUGGAAUUCCUGGUGUAGCGGUGAAAUGCGCAGAUAUCAGGAAGAACACCCGUGGCGAAGGCGGCUCUCUGGGACGGUACUGACGCUGAGACGCGAAAGCGUGGGGAGGCGAACAGG
rnacentral:rRNA from 1 species